UCGUCUAAAAGUAGCUCUCCUCUGGUUCCUCCUCUGGUUUGUUCCAGUGCUGAUGGUGCAGCUGUAGACCAGAUCACUGUCACUGUCUGAAAGUAUCAGAGAACUGCUGAUGUUGUAAAGCUGCUGUUCAGUCUGCUGGACUGUGGUUGUGUUCUUGAAGGUCUCUUUGGAUGGAGGUGUGGUGGACCAGGUGAGUUCAGGUUCAGGGUAGAUCCAGUUAGAGCUGCAGGUGAUCCUGUUUCCUUCCUGGACUAUGUUGACUUCAUGGACUGGAGCUGGAA